rnacentral:rRNA from 1 species
UCAAGCUAAAAAGAGCGCAGGGUGGAUGCCUUGGCACUAAGAGCCGAUGAAAGACGUGAUAAGCUGCGAUAAGCUACGGGGAGGAGCACAUAUCCAUUGAUCCGUAGAUUUCUGAAUGGGGAAACCCGGCUGAGCAUACCUCAGUCACCGUGCACUGAAUCCAUAGGUGUACGGAGGGAACCCGGUGAACUGAAACAUCUAAGUAGCCGGAGGAAGAGAAAGAAAACUCGAUUUUCAAAGUAGCGGCGAGCGAAAUGGAAAGAGCCCAAACCGGAGUGCGUGCACUCCGGGGUUCGGACUGCAUUUAUGACUUCUGACUGUAGCGGAACGGUUCUGGAAAGACCGGCCAGAGAGGGUGAGAGCCCCGUAGGCGAAACGGAAAGAAGCAGAGCAGGAUCCAGAGUACCACGAGACACGAGAAACCUUGUGGGAAUGAGCGGGGACCACCCCGUAAGGCUAAAUACUCCUUAGUGACCGAUAGAGCAGAGUACUGUGAAGGAAAGGUGAAAAGGACCCCGGGAGGGGAGUGAAAGAGAACCUGAAACCCUGUGUUUACAAACUGUGGAAGUACCAUACGAGUACAACCGCGUACUUUUUGUAGAACGGUCCGGCGAGUUACGUUUACUGGCGAGGUUAAGCACUUAAGGUGCGGAGCCGAAGGGAUACCAAGUCUUAACAGGGCGUAAAGUCAGUGUACGUAGACCCGAAACCGGGUGAUCUACCCAUGUCCAGGCUGAAGUUGCCGUAAAAGGCAAUGGAGGGCCGAACGCACAUCCGUUGAAAAGGGUGGCGAUGAGGUGUGGGUAGGGGAGAAAUUCCAAUCGAACCCGGAGAUAGCUGGUUCUCCUCGAAAUAGCUUUAGGGCUAGCCUCGUGUUAACCUUGUGGAGGUAGAGCACUGAAUAUCCUAGGGGGCGUCAAAGUCUACCGAAGAUUAUCAAACUCCGAAUGCCAUAAAGGUGAUGCACGGGAGUCAGACUGCACGAGAUAAGUUGGGUGGUCAAAAGGGAAAGAGCCCAGACCUACAGCUAAGGUCCCAAAGUGCGUGUUAAGUGGAAAAGGAUGUGGGAUUUCGAAGACAACUAGGAUGUUGGCUCAGAAGCAGCCAUACAUUCAAAGAGUGCGUAAUAGCUCACUAGUCGAGAGGUCCUGCGCCGAAAAUGUCCGGGGCUAAAACACGACACCGAAGCUUAGGACUCCAUUUAGGAGUGGUAGAGGAGCAUUGUUAGCGCAGCGAAGCUGUACCGAUAAGGAGCAGUGGAGUGCUAAGAAGAGAGAAUGCCGGAAUGAGUAGCGAGAGGAAGGUGAGAAUCCUUCCGGCCGAAUAUCCAAGGUUUCCAGAGUAAAGCUGAUCUGCUCUGGGUAAGUCGGGGCCUAAGGCGAGGUCGAAAGACGUAGUCGAUGGAUAACAGGUGGAGAUUCCUGUACUAUGUGUACCCAGAACUGUGGGGACGCAUGUGGAGAGCACGAGCCGGGAAAGAGAAAACCGGUACAAGCGGGGUAGGAGUAAGGACAGCAAAUCUUCCUUACAAUCCGAAGACGUAAUGUGGACCGAACCAAAGUAGGGAAGCGUGUGAGCCAUGUGCCAAGAAAAGCCGCUAUUGUGAUACACAUACCCGUACCGUAAACCGACACAGGUGGAUGAGGAGAGAAUCCUAAGGCCGACGGAAGAAGCAUUGUUAAGGAACUCGGCAAAAUGACCCCGUAACUUCGGGAGAAGGGGUGCCCUGUGAAAGCAGGGCCGCAGAGAAUAGGCUCAAGCAACUGUUUAGCAAAAACACAGGUCUAUGCGAAACCGAAAGGUGAGGUAUAUGGGCUGACGCCUGCCCGGUGCUGGAAGGUUAAGAGGAGAAGUCAGGCAACGAAGCUUCGAAUUUAAGCCCCAGUAAACGGCGGCCGUAACUAUAACGGUCCUAAGGUAGCGAAAUUCCUUGUCGGGUAAGUUCCG